rnacentral:lncRNA from 1 species
AAAGGCAUGCUGACAAGGAAGUACUGGUAAAUGAGAUGGCAGUGUCGUAUCUUGAUCCUGCAACAUCAGAGACUACAAAUCCCGAUGAUAAUACAGGUGAAGGUCAUAAUUACGGGAUAGCGGAGGACAUUAUUGGAGCAGAUAACGGUACUGAGGAGUUUCGCGAGCAUCUGAAUUUAUCAUUACAACCCUUACCUCCUUACCAGAAACUAUAAAACGCUGACAGUGGAAGUUCUGUAAAAUCGUUCCCGGGAGUGGUGUAAAAGCGUCAGUCUUUACAAAAGUUGUGUAAACUUGUCAACCUUUGCAAGCAGGAAACAAUAAGCAAUAGAGGGAAAAGUACUAUUGGGUAAUGAACACUCAAAACUUUAGCUUAACAUAUUAAAAACCCUAAAAGUUAUAAAGAAAAUUAAAUAAGAUGAAAUUAUUCGUUUUCUGACGGUUAAGAUCAAAAUCAAAAUCAUAUCGACACGACUUGAUGAUUUUACUGGAUUAAACGAUAUUUUAGAUUAAAACCAAAGAAGUGUAUUUUUAACGAAAGGCGUAUUACUAUUGAAGGUAGGCGGUUCUUUUCGGUUGUUCUAUUUAGAUAUUCAUAAGAUUGAUACCCUGACGUAAUUGUUUUGCUUCCUGAUUGUCAAGCAAAGCACACCACUUAUUUUCCUAGCAAACUACUGUAAAAAAGUAAAUAUAAGGAUUGAGUGCUAUUUUUGUGCGUUUAAAAAUUAAAAAAGUAUUAACCAUGUACGGAUUUCUUGCAAAUCGUUUAAGAAUCGCUUGCACCAUAGAUGGAUUUGCAAGAGGUCUCAAUGUGAUUCAUUCCCCUUUAGCUGUUGCUAGGAGGCCUGAGGGUUGUUGCAUGAUUCAUUACCUCUCAUAAACAGACUUAAUCAAACCAUAAACAGACUUCAUCAAACCGUGUCUGCUAUCAGGGUUUUGCUUGGUUGCAUCAUAUGUUUCCAGUGGAUCUUUUUACAUAUUUCAUUGCAUCGUGUCUAAAUCAGCGUUAAAUGUGUGUGUUUGAUUAUUUACUUUUAAUAUUUUCUAAUCAAAUUUUAACAAAAUGUGUUUGCAGAAUGUUAAUAUAUUCAAGAUGUACAAUGAUGUGAACUAAAUCAAUUAAUUUAUUUUUGUGUGUUUUUGUGUGCUGCUUCUCAA